rnacentral:tRNA from 1 species
GCGGCUGUAGCUCAGUGGAUAGAGUAUUGGCCUCCGAAGCCAAGGGUCGCAGGUUCGAUCCCUGCCAGCCGCGCCA